rnacentral:rRNA from 1 species
CAGUCGAACGGUGAAGAGGAGCUUGCUCCUUGGAUCAGUGGCGAACGGGUGAGUAACACGUGAGCAAUCUGCCCUUGACUCUGGGAUAACUGCGGGAAACUGUAGCUAAUACCGGAUAUUACCUUGGAAGGCAUCUUCUGGGGUGGAAAGAAUUUUGGUCAAGGAUGAGCUCGCGGCCUAUCAGCUAGUUGGUGAGGUAAUGGCUCACCAAGGCGACGACGGGUAGCCGGCCUGAGAGGGUGACCGGCCACACUGGGACUGAGACACGGCCCAGACUCCUACGGGAGGCAGCAGUGGGGAAUAUUGCACAAUGGGCGCAAGCCUGAUGCAGCAACGCCGCGUGAGGGACGAAGGCCUUCGGGUUGUAAACCUCUUUUAGUAGGGAAGAAGCGACUGGGUUUUCCUGGAAGUGACGGUACCUGCAGAAAAAGCACCGGCUAACUACGUGCCAGCAGCCGCGGUAAUACGUAGGGUGCAAGCGUUGUCCGGAAUUAUUGGGCGUAAAGAGCUCGUAGGCGGUUUGUCGCGUCUGCUGUGAAAACCCGAGGCUCAACCUCGGGCCUGCAGUGGGUACGGGCAGACUAGAGUGCGGUAGGGGAGAUUGGAAUUCCUGGUGUAGCGGUGGAAUGCGCAGAUAUCAGGAGGAACACCAAUGGCGAAGGCAGAUCUCUGGGCCGUAACUGACGCUGAGGAG